rnacentral:lncRNA from 1 species
CGAAGGAGGAGGUGGCGGUUAGGCGCGGAGGCUUGGGGCGGAGCUCUUUGGGGAAGAGGGUCUCGGUCAGGGGCUGAGACUCGUCGUCCUCGAGCAGCGUGUCGUAGCGGACGAUGUAGAGGCCGUUGUCGAGGCGCGACACAACCGUGGCGAGGUAGUAGGAGCCGAGGAAGCCCUCCUCGUUGAUGCACACCUCCACCUUGUCGCCGUGGCGAAAAUUCACCGUCUUCCGCGGUGGUCGCAUUGAAAAAGAAAAGGGUUCUUCAAAGUUCUCUUGGUUGAACAGUGUCGUGAGACCAGAGAAAGUGUUAUUUGUUUCUGUUGGGUUCUACUAAUUCCUCUUCUUAUAUAGUUCUUCUUAUUAUGGAUGUGUAUGUUUUCUUCUCUUGAUUUUCUUUUGAUUUUAUUCUCUUGAUUUUCUUCUCUUGAUUUUCAUCUCUUGAUUUGUCGAAUUAGUAAGGAAACAUUUAUUAUGAAACUCAAAUAGAUAUUCUCUGUCAAGUUUUUUUAGUCAUUUUCUUCGCUCUUCGGUUGUUUCCGUCUUUUAGAUAGGCAAAGGGGUGGUAUUCUAAAGACACUUUAAGUUAGAGAUUAUAUUUAGGUCAUAGUCGUUACAAUCAUUACCUUUUAACUUUCUAUCACUGUAUCUAUUUACAAUUUUUCUAUGAAUUUUUUCGAUAAAAAAUCUAAUAUUUCCUUAAAUCUUAUUUAGAUCAUGAUCAAUCAUUUCAAUAUAAUUCUUUAUCAUGAAUUCAUUUUACUAAAAUUUGAAGUGAAUCUAACAUAAUUGUUGACAAGUCGAAUGACCAAAAUGUCAAAUGCUUUUUCGGUGUGGAAAGUGGAUGUGUUCACUUUACUGUCAACACCCUUUAUAAUUUUAUAAGAUAACAUUAUUAAUGUUUUAAUUGCUGUUCAAUUUUUUGUUUUUGCACUAUUUGUUAAUAAGACAUGCUUUUACCAAUAAGAUUGUUGUGAUGGAUUUAUAAAUUAUUUUUUAGUAUGGCUUUUUAUUAGUUCAUUUUCUAAAUGUAAAUUAUGUACGUUGAGUGAGAUUUUGUAAAGUUUUAUAUAUGUUGAAUAUUACUAAUGCAUAUUUUUUAUUUUUUAAUCUGAAAAAAGUUAUGCGUUAUUUUUACUUAUACGUGGACUAAAGCUUGGAUAUUUCAGAAAUUAGGUAAUAUUUUAACGCGGAUCUUGGCUAACACUUUUUUAUAUAGGUUUUGGGUUAUGGACAGGUUUAGGUUUUAGCUAAAACAAAGCAAAAUUGGUAAUUGAAUGCAAAUAAAUUGUAAUUUUGUCUUUGAAAAGAUUUUGGAGUUUGUUGGCUGGAAUCUGUAGUUUUUUAUUCAGAGGAAAAAUCUAAGGUAGCAGUUGGACACGGGUAAAGUUUGAAAUAAUAAAAUACAAUUUAUGGAAAUAGAUGGAUAAAGUUUGUAUGCAAAGAACUUUAUUUUGAGAAAACAAAGAUCCAAAUGUAUAAUGAUUUAAAAUAUCUGUCAUAAUUUGAAAUGAAGAUUUUGAACCUCCUUAAUUAUGGAGUGCUCCUACCGGUUGCCCUAAAACGUCUUCGUGCAUCUACGUCAUUCUCACGUUCAGAAUCUCUGCGCUUGCAAGUGUUUUCCCUUUGAUGAUAUGCCUGAAAACACAAAGACAACGGGUGCCCUAGAGACCGUUUGCACUCCGACGCUCAAGUCAAUCUUAGGGCUAGGAAACACCAAAACUGUUUAACGUAAGACUGUAAUUGUGUGUUUUAAGCGGCGCAAAUGAAUAACGUACCUUACUAAGUUUGUUACUUUCCUUUAUAUAGGCUGAAACUAGGGUUUCCACUUUACCCAAAGUGGGCUUUCUAAGGGGAUGGGCCCAGCACUGCCGUUACCUACUCUUAGGAUAACCUAGCGUGUGGGGUUCCCUAACUGAAGUGCAACCUCUGACGGGGUGACCACCUGGAUGCCUCCUCGUGCACCUGAUCUCUAGGGUCACCCGCCUUGGGAGCGUCCUAGCUGUUCACGUGUCAUGCAUGCAGCUCACCCUUGGAACGUGGACCUCGAAGGUCGUAUCUUUUCCAGUGGCUCUAUGCUCGCGUUACACCUGUACGCGUCAUCCACUUCGCACGCAUGGACUCUUGUGACCUAGGCUUCUCCUUUACUGAUGACUGGUGUGUGGUUUGGGAUUCACCUCUCGUGGCCCAGCUCUGUUGUUCGAGUCUCGAUGUUCGACCUCUCCACACCAACUAGUGGCACGUCGGUACAUCCUGGUGACCGAUGUCUGGCCACUCUUUGGUUCCUUGGCGCUCGUGCCUCGCGAGAUACUGACUCACGCCGCUCGUGGGACCCCGCUUACAUGGCCCCAACAUCACUAGUGGUCAACGACGCUCGAGGACUGGUCGGUACACAAGCCCCCCAGUCUCGAGCUAUAACUUGUUCAGCGAAGAGACUAAGUUCUUGCCUUUGGUGACCUACGUGGCUCUGUAUGACAGGACGUGAAUAGUGCAGCAGAGUGACAUCUCUCUGAGACUGUCUUAACUGCACGCACGUCUUAACUUCUUUGUUUACGUUAAAUAUUCGAAAACGCGCGCGUCCAAUCACUGUUCCAUCAUUCUCUAAAUCAUCCUUGAUUGCUUCGUCUUCUUCCUCGAGCACUCUCGCGUUUUCCCUACAAAUUCCAGAACCUUCAUCCUACCUGAUCAAAAGGUACGAACUUUAACUGCUGAUCGCACUUAUCUAUGGAUUCUGAUGUUUGAUAACCGCUUGGGGUUGUUUAACUCCUUGCAUUUUAAGCUUUCCCUGUUUUCUCUCCGUUCCUUUUUUCUGGGAUCCCUUCGAGUGUGGGUUUCCCUGAGUUAGGGUUCAAGAAACCCAGGACCCUUGAGGAACUGAUUCUUGUUAUCGUAUUGUUAUGCUUGCACAUUUUGCCCCUUUAUAUUUGCAUGUUUACCCUUGUGUUCUGGAUUCCUAACCUCUUGUAUUCUGAAAUUUGCACGCAGGGAUGGUGCUGAAUGAGGAGAAACGGGCCAAGUUGGCUGGUAUCCUUACUCGCCGUCAAGGGGUGUCUGGAGGUGCGAGCACCUCUACCCCUCGCGCCCUCGCUUCUGCCACUGCUGCGCCCUCGCCUACUCCUUCCACUCCCGCAGUCGCUAUUCCUCUUGCCGCCGCCCAAACAUCUCCCGCUCCAUUUCCUUACGAGAGAAAGGUAGUGGAGAUCAAAUCUGAUGAGGAAUCCGCCGAGGGGUCAGUCUUUAAAAGGCUUAGGCCUACGAUGACGACGACAUCCCAUUCCUCCACUAUCGGUCGCCCGACAUCGCCCCGAGAUCGAACGCCAAGCACUCCCUCGUCCCCUGACCUUUUCGCGCUUGAAGACGGUGGGACGAGUGCUCCUGCGGUUCCACUGCUCUCGAACUGCCCGCUGUCCUGCAACAUGCCCUCAAAGACUUCCAACUAGAGAUGACGGUGGACUCGGAUGAGACCGCUGCGAGGGAAAGGUUGGGCCUCAACUUUAGGACUCUUCUUGCUCAGUCCAAUGCCCUCAUAACUAGGCCUGAGGCGAGGGUGGCGCUGGUAGAGGCCAAGGCUAAGGAAGAAACGACCUUGCUGGCUCGUUCGUUUGCUACCCGCGAGACCGCACUGAAGCAGGAGUUGGCUAGCCUCCGCCAAUCUGAAAGGGAUCUCUCAAAACGACUUCAUGACAAGUGCCUAGAGGCUAUCGAGCUGGAGGCAAAAAUUCUUCCCCUACGAAUCCAGGUAAUUGAGUUGGAAGAGGCGGCUGAGGCAUCCAAAGCCAAGAUGGAAAGGCUUGAAGAAAGGUCCAUCAAUCGAGAAGUGCAGCUGGGUCGUGUUGAGGCCGAGCUCCUCCAACAAGCUAAGAGGUUUGAAGAAGCCGAGGCUGAGCUGACCGGAGAUAUUGUUGAUGCUUACGACGCGGGGUUCGAGGACGCCCUCACUCAGGUUGCCUGUGUGCACCCCGAGAUGGACGCUUCACCCUUCGCGACAUCAAACCGUGUUGUAAACGGGCAGAUCUUCCAAGGAUUCUUCCUUUUUAGCUUGUACUUGGUUGUCAAACGAACAGUUUAUUGUCCGCUUGCAAUUUUACCUUCUCGGAUGUCUAGCUGCUUUUACUUCCUUAAGCUUGAUUUGACUGAAAACUGCUUUUUUAUCUUACUCAACUGCUAACUCGUGGUGUCUGGCACCGCGAUGCUUCUACUAGCGCCUUCUGGUACCCUGACCUUGCUAUACGAGAGGGGUUUAACUGUGAACCAGGCCGUUCAAACUUGGCGUUCUCACUCGAAGAAGGGAGGUGUUCUUGAUGAAUCCUACCUUUCCAUUCACGAGACUUCGAACACAAGGGACAUAAUGUUGAAUCAAGUGUGUUCAAGCUUUGAAGAAUCCAAACCCUUUAAAGGUUGAUGGAAGGCAGGAUGUGCUUGCUUUUGCUGAUGUGUUUUAGAAUAGGAUCUGGGGUAGAUUAUCUGUGUUAAAUCCACUCUUGAUUGAAUCCAAAGCUUAAGCAUUCUCAAACCUUUUAAUUUAAAGUGUUUUUUAAACUAAGUGAAAAACAACCUGUUGUUUUGUCGAAACAACCGAUUGUUUUAUACUUAGGUGUUUUUAGAAAGGUUGAAAACUGUUUUUAAUGGUUGACUUGCUGUCAAACCAAAACAACCGAUUGAUUCGAGCAUUCAACCGAUUGUUUGUUUUGGGACUAUAACAGAAAACUGUUUUGUGUUUUGACUGAGCAUUAAAUGAUUUUAUAACUGAUUACGCUCCAGUUUUAAAUGCUUUGACCAGUCUUUGAUUGCAAUAAAUAGUUUGUUCAGAUUAUGUAACAAACAAGAACUUAGUUUUAAUCAAAGAAAAAUAGAUUUGAGUUUUUCACUGAUUUUGCUUUUGAAGAGUUGGAGAUUGCUUUGAGAUUGCUUUGAUCAAGAGAGUGUGAUAUAGGAUUUUCAUCUUGUAUUGAUUUCAGAUCUUUUCUGUAACUAGUGUAAUCCUUUUGUACUUUGAAGAAACUCUGUGUGUGAAGUUGAGAAGUGUUGUGUGUUCUUGAGGUUGUCAAGAUCAGCAUUCUUAGUGGUGUUUGUGCUGAGCCAAAGGAAGUGUGUGUCUUGAGGGGAUCAAGGUCACUUCUUUGGUGGUGUUGUAAGUAAUCUAGGGUUGAUUGCUUAGUGGAUUCCCCAGUGGUCUUUGGGAAGACUGGAUGUAGCUCUUGGUUAAGAGUGAACCAGUAUAAACCUCUGUGUGCAUUCUCUCUAUCCCUUGAACUCUUUAAAUUUAGUUUAUAUUUGUGAACUGGUAUAAACAACCGAUUGUUUCUGCGAAAUAAUCGAUUGUUUUUGCGAAACAAUCGAUUGUUUUUCUGGUGUUGUGUUAAAUUGCUUUGUGUUUUUGGCAAACGGAUUAAUAAAUCAAGUUUUCUCGAAGUGAUUUCAUUCUAGACUUAAAAGUUUGCGAAAACCCUCUUUAAACCAUUCACCCCCCCUAUAGUUUAAAGCUAUACUUUCUAACAAUUGGCAUCAAGAGCUUGGUUCUUGAAAUUUAUUCAAGUGUGAUCCUAAAACUGUUUUUAUAUGGUUGAUAAACUACCUUCUGGGGAAGGUGCUUCAAUCAACAGACCACCUCUGUUUUGUGGUUUGAACUACCAAUUUUGGAAAGUCAGAAUGAAAGUCUUUGUAGAAUCACUUGACAAAGGUAUUUGGGAUGCAAUUGAAAAUGGCCCAUUUGUUCCAAAAUUUGAAAAAGAUGGAUCUUCCAUUGAAAAAACUUGGUCUCAAUGGAUUGAUUCUGAAAGCAAGAAGGCCAAAUUUGAUUGCAUUGCUAAAAACAUAAUAACUUCUGCCUUGAAUUCAGAUGAAUUUUUCAGGGUAUCAGCAAAGGAAAUGUGGGACACCUUGGAGGUAACUCAUGAAGGUACCAAUGAGGUGAAAAGAGCUAGAAAGCAUACUCUAAUCCAAGAGUAUGAAAUGUUCAGAAUGCUCAAGGGUGAGACAAUUGCUGAAGUUUAGAAAAGGUUCACGCACAUCAUCAAUCACCUCAUGAGCCUUGAGAAAACCUUUGAAAAAGAAGAGCUAAACAUCAAGAUCCUCAAAUGUCUUGAUAGAUCUUGGCAACCUAAGGUAACUGCUAUAUCUGAAUCAAAAGAUCUAACAUCAUUGAGUAUGGCUUCUUUGUUUGGCAAGCUUAGGGAACAUGAGUUAGAAAUGAAUAAACUCAAUGUUCAAGAAAGUGAAGAUAAGCAUGUGAGAAGCAUUGCCUUAAAAGCUAUCAAGCAUAAAAGCAAGCAAGAAUCCAGUGAUGAAAGUGAUGAAGAGAACCUUAGUUUGCUAUCUAGAAAGUUUAGCAAAUUCUUGAAAAGGAACCGCAACAAAGACACCAACAAAGAAAGGUAUGGAAACAAAAAAUCUAAUGAUUUUAAUUCCAAUAAUUAUACCUGUUUUGGUUGUGGUGAGCAAGGGCACAUAAAGGCAGAUUGCCCAAAUAAAGAAAGCAAGGAGAAGAAGUCAAGCUACAAAGAAAAUAAGGGAAAGUCAAAAAGGGUCUACAUAGCUUGGGAUGAGAAUGAAGUCUCCUCAUCAAGUGAAGAAGAAAAGGCAAACAUAUGCUUGAUUGCUGAAGGAGAUGAUGAGUCUUGUAGCUUAAGUGAUGUAAGUUCAUGUGCUUCUCUAAAUGUUGAAAAUUAUAGUGAAUUGUUUGAAGCUUUUCAAGAAACACAUGAUGAAGCUAAUCGAUUGGUUCUUUCAAACAACCGAUUGAAAGAUCUUAACAACUGGCUUGAAAAGAGAGUCAAGACACUUGAAGAAGAGCUGGAAAAAUCAAAAAGGGAUUUUGAAAAUCUUGAAACACAUUGCAAAAACUCUUCUUACAAGUGUGACACUCUCACGUGAAAAUUGUGAAAAUCUUGAAAGGAAAGUGCCAUUAUCUUGUAAGUACUGUGGAUAAGCUUUCAAAAGGAAAAUCCAACUUUGAGAAUGUCUUGGCAUCUCAAAACUGUGUUUUUGGAAGAGAUGGAUUAGGUUUUAAUCCUCAAAACAAGCAAGAUAAGUUUUCAAAACAUCAUGUAAAACAACCGAUUGUGAAGUCGAAACAAUCGGUUGUUACAUGCUUUUAUUGCAUGAAGAAAGGCCAUUCUGUUAGAUUCUGCAAAAUAAGGAAUUUUUCUGUUUCCAGAGGCUUUAUGAAAUGGAUUCCUAAAGGUUGUGAGGUUUCAAAUGAUAAAAGUAAACCAAAUGGACCCACAUUUGUAAGGGACCAAACCUUAUUGCUUGAAUUCAUGUUUAUGCAGGGAAUCUAGAGAAACAUGAGGCACUAAGUCAUCUGAUUAGGUUCUUGGAAGGAAAAGAUCAACAUUGAAGCUGAAUCAAUGUUAUGUAUCAGUCCAAGGUUCUCAAUAAUCAAAAGAGGCUUCUUGAUCAAAAGGCAUUUGUCUCAUUGAAGUAACAUCAUAAAGGAUAAAAGUAAUCCAAAUGGACCCACAUUUGUAAGGGACCAAACCUUGUUGCUUGAAUUCAUGUUUAUGUAGGGAAUCUAGAGAAACAUGAGGCACUGAGUCAUCUGAUCAGGUUCUUGGAAGGAAAAGAUCAACAUUGAAGUUGAAUCAAUGUUAUGUAUCAGUCCAAGGUUCUCAAUAAUCAAAAGAGGCUUCUUGAUCAAAAGGCAUUUGUCUCAUUGAAGUAACAUCAUAAAGGAUAAGACCUUCCUUAUCUCUAUCUUUAAUUCCUUUUUAAAUUCAUAUUCAUGCUUGAAUGUCUCUUUUAAAAUGAUCAAAUACAUCUGUUUUGAAUCCUUUAUGCUCAUGAUUAAAAAUUCAAAAUCUGUUUCACUGUUGCAGAAAAACAACCGAUUAUUUCCUCGAAACAACCGAUUGUUUUGUAUCUGACAGAACUGUGAAAUAAUGGAUUUAAUUUCUUUUUAAUUUCUGUCUGUUGCAGAUAUCAAUUACGAAAGGAUUUGGGUCAACAAAGCUGUGUUAAAAGCCUGUUUAUGUUCUAGAGGAAGUUACAACAUGUCAUAAAGGUCUUGGUCAAGUCUUUUCUCUCUGAAAAACUGAAACCCACUCACAUCAUUGAAUGCAGUUUGGUUUUGUGUUUCUUUAAAUUUUGUUGCAACUGUUAUCUCUCACAAGAACAAUCAAUUGAGCCAUCUCUUGCAACAACUCUUGCUCUCCUUGUGUGAGUCUUCUUUGCCCCUUUUUCUGCUGUCAUGGAAUCAACUCCUCCUCAAAGAGGGUCAAAACCAGAGCAGUGAGGUCUGAAGGGAGAUUAGAGGACUGGUUUUCUGGAGACAAUGAGCUCAUUGAAAGGUAUAGGUUUGAAACUAGCACAAAGGUGAUAAACAACCCCAAAGUUGUUUCCUUUGAUUGGCUGAAAAGCCAAAAGCUAGAUAAUGUGAGGAAGCUGCUCAAGGACCAAUCUCUAAGAAGGUUCUUGGAGAUGAAGGGGAACAUAUACCCUGAUUUGAUUCGAGUAUUCUACACCAAUCUCAAGUUUGAGGGAAACAACCUUGUUUCUCAUGUGAAAGGAGUUGACAUGGAGAUCACUUAUGAUGUGUGGACUGUUGUUGCUGGUCUGAAAUAUGCUGGCCUAAGAAUCAAUAAGGGAAAUCUUGGAGUAGUGGAGGAUUUCAACAAAGUCCAAUACUACAAGAGUUGCUUGAAGAAUCAAAAUGCCCAAGUGAGAACUUGUUUGGUUGGAGGCUUAAAGCUAGAUGAAAGGGUGCUUGCUCUUAUUGUAACUUGGAUUCUUACUCCAAGGGGGAACAACCAUUAUGUCCUUACAGAAGAAGACGUAUUAUACAUCUACUGCAUUAUGAAGAAGAUCAAAAUCAAUUGGAUCCACAUCAUCAAAGAACACAUGCAAAAAGCCAUGAGGUUAAGUGAUUAUCACUAUAUGUUGUUUUAAUUUCUAAAUUCUUGCUCUAUUUUGAAGUGAAUCUUGAGGAUGAGACAUCUGAGUUGGUCAAGUCAACACAAGAGAUGAACAAUGGCUCUCUUAGCAAGAUGGGAUUCACCAAAAUAAAUGGGAAAUGGAUGAGCAAAGAAGGAGAUCAUGGUACUUCAUCAAGUGUUGCAGCUGCUGAUUUUGAUGAAGAAUAUCAAGUUGCUGACAUGGAUUUUCACCGUGAGGAACAACCUGGAAUCAAUCUAGGUGCUGGAACCAGUGCAGGAAAUCAAGAAGAUGAAAUGCCAUCCAUGUCUUCCUUUGAAAGAUACAUGGUAAAUAGGCUUGAUGGAUUUGCCGAGAAUCAAAGAAAUCUUCAUGAUUUGUGUGUAAGCAACUUCCAGAGUAUAGACAACAGGUUCAACAACAUGGAUACACAGUUCAUGACCUUGGAUGAACAAAUAGAAGCUGUUGAAAAUCAGAUUUUUGAACUCCAGUAUGACAAAGAUGAUUAACGGAAAAACAACCGGUUGAAUUCACGAAACAACCGAUUGUUUUUGGUCUUGUAUCAGUUUUAUUGCUUCUGUUCUCUAUUUCUGUAUGAUCUGGAACAAUUAUCUUUUUAUCUCUUCUUUUUUUCUAUUUGUGAAGACAAAUAGAGGGAAAUUUAUGUUGUGUUGUCUUUCAUUAACUUUUAUUUCUGCAAAACUCUUGUUGGGUAUGAAUGUUUAAGUAAGCCUUAUUUCUGCUAGUUUUAAAACUACUGAUAUACUGUUUCUGUUUUUUGCUCUAACCCUAUAUCAGAGAUAUUGUGCCUUGCUUAAACUUUGUCUUGCAGGAACUGCUUCAAAUUCAAUCAAAUCCAACACAAGCAACCAGGGAUUUCUCUUCAUCAAAUAGGGGGAGAUUGUUGAAUCAAGUGUGUUCAAGCUUUGCAGAAUUCAAACCCUUUGAAGGUUGAUGGAAGGCAGGAUGUGCUUGUUGUUGUUGAUGUGUUUUAGAAUAGGAUAUGGGGUAGAUUAUCUGUGUUAAAUCCACUCUUGAUUGAAUCCAAAGCUUAAGCAUUCUCAAACCUUUUAAUUGAAAGUAUUUUUCAAACUAAGUGAAAAACAACCUGUUGUUUUGUUGAAACAACCGAUUGUUUUAUACUUAGGUGUUUUUAAAAAGGCUGAAAACUGUUUUUGAUGGUUGACUUGCUAUCAAACCAAAACAACCGAUUGAUUCGAGCAUUCAACCGAUUGUUUGUUUUGGGACCAUAACAGAAAAUUGUUUUGUGCUUUGACUGAGCAUUAAAUGAUUUGAUAAUUGAUUACGCUCCAGUUUUAAAUGCUUUGACCAGUCUUUGAUUGCAAUAAAUAGUUUGUUCAGAUUAUGUAACAAACAAGAACUUAGUUUUAAUAAAAAAAAAACAGAUUUGAGUUUUUCACUGAUUUUGCUUUUGAAGAGUUGGAGAUUGCUUUGAGAUUGCUUUGAUCAAGAGAGUGUGAUAUAGGAUUUUCAUCUUGUAUUGAUUUCAGAUCUUUUCUGUAACUAGUGUAAUCCUUUUGUACUUUGAAGAAACUCUGUGUGUGAAGCUGAGAAGUAUUGUGUGUUCUAAAGGUUGUCAAGAUCAGCAUUCUUAGUGGUGUUUGUGCUGAGCCAAAGGAAGUGUGUGUCUUGAGGGGAUCAAGGUCACUUCUUUGGUGGUGUUGUAAGUAAUCUAGGGUUGAUUGCUUAGUGGAUUCCCCAGUGGUUUUGGGGAAGACUGGAUGUAGCUCUUGGUUAAGAGUGAACCAGUAUAAACCUCUCUGUGCAUUCUCUCUAUCCCUUGAACUCUUUAAAUUCAGUUUAUAUUUGUGAACUGGUAUAAACAACCGAUUGUUUUUGCGAAACAACCGAUUGUUUUUCUGGUGCUGUGCUAAAUUGCUUUGUGUUUUUGGCAAACGGAUUAAUAAAUCAAGUUUUCUUGAAGUGAUUUCAUUCUAGACUUAAAAGUUUUCGAAAACCCUCUUUAAACCAUUCACGCCCCCUCUAGUUUAAAGUCAUACUUUCUAACACAUAAUUCCUUGGCUGACCUCAGCUUCACUCAAAGGCAAGCAGGAUUUAUCUAGUGAACUAUUUCGUUUAAACUUGGCGUUCGCACUUGAAAGGGGAGGUGUUCUCUACGAACGUACCUUUCUACUCACGAGACUUCUAACGCAAGGAAAACAAGUUCCUAGCUGACCUCAACUUCGCUCAAGGGCGAGGAGGAUUUAUCUGGUAAACUAUUUCGUUCAACCUUAACGUUCUCACUCAAGGGGGGAUGUGUUCUCUACGAACCUACCUUUCCAGUCGCGAGACUUCUCACAAUCCUCUGUCUGCCCAUUGAUAUCAUCCCCUGAUGUCGCUCAAGGGUGAGGAGGAUUUAUCUGGUGAACUAUUUCGUUCAACCUUGGCGUUCUCAGUCGAGGAGGGAGGUGUUCUCUACGAACGUACCUUUCUACUCACGAGACUUCUAACGCAAGGAAAACAAGUUCCUAGCUGACCUCAACUUCGCUCAAGGGCGAGGAGGAUUUAUCUGGUAAACUAUUUCGUUCAACCUUAACGUUCUCACUCAAGGGGGGAUGUGUUCUCUACGAACCUACCUUUCCAGUCGCGAGACUUCUAACGCAAGGAAAACAAGUUCCUAACUGACCUCAGCUUCGCUCAAGGGUGAGGAGGAUUUAUCUGGUGAACUAUUUCGUUCAACCUUGGCGUUCUCAGUCGAGGAGGGAGGUGUUCUCUACAAACCUACCUUUCCACUCACGAGACUUCUAACGCAAGGAAAACAAGUUCUUAAUUGCAUUGUACACAACUCGAGAAAAUAUUUCAAUCGAAAUUUAUUGGGUGACCUCAUUAAAAAACCCUUAUAAGGGAAAAAAGAGUGUCCCCUAAUACAAUGUACAAUGUUACUGCUUAACUUAAAUAAAAAUUGAAGUUGGCCGCAUUCCAUGUGCGAGGAAUCGCGCCUCCUUUCAGCGUCUCAAGUCUGCAUGCUUUGUUCCCGAGGACCCCUGUUACUCUGGAAGAACCAGUCCAUAUGGGGGAGAGCUGACGUGAGACUAACAGAGUCGCCUUCUCGGGUACCUGGUAUCUUUCCUCAGGUUCUUGCCAUAUUUUGCUCACAAAGCAUAUGAGGUUUUGAAACUGGUCUUGUUCUUCUUGAAUAAGGACUGAACUGAUCGCAUGAUGGAUCACCGCUAGAUACAAACUAAGUGGCGUGCUUGGUUGUGGUUUGCACAUGACUGGAGGGCUGGCUAAAUACUUCUUCAACUUGAUGAACACCUCUUUACCCUCUUGGUAAGGGAGGCUGCCCCCUCCUCCGACUGAUGCAAAUCCAGACAAGACAGACAUGCACCUCGUUAGUGCGCACCUUUUUGGGUUUAUUUUUGUAUCACACUCGGUGAGCAAGAAACCCAUAAGCUUCUUUGCUUCUAUUCCGGACACACACUUCUCAGGGUCCGAUUUCAGCCUGUCAAAAUAAGCCUAAAAACAGAAAGAUAAAUAACAAGAAUUAUAGAGCUCUUGAAUUAAAAGUGCAACACAACUCAAAGUUAAACAAGAACACACCUAAACUCUAGAUACCACAUGAUAUGAAAUCAAUAGCAAGAUAGAGAUUAUUCUUUGACAUUCUAUGGAAUCAACUUGAGUUGGAGAUAGCUUAGGCACUUUUAAUAGAAUUGGAUCAAGGUUCUAUGUUUCAAGAACUCACCAAAACUUGCACCAAACACCAAACUCAUAUGGAAGAUCCAUCUAUUGCCAAUUGAACCGAUUAAAUUGUGUAAAAAGGCAAAAGCACCAAUUAAAAAGAUCAAGAACAGAAAUGCACCGAACAAAUCAGCUAGAAUUGAAGAAGAAACAAAUAGAAACAGCCAAAGGAACUAUGAACCGAAGCAAAGCUGAAAAUAAACUGAAUUGCCGAACCAAAAAGAAGCUAAACAUGUUUUAGGAAUUUCAUAUGAACAUGGAGAUGAAAGAAAGAAGAACUUAUGGAGAUGGAUGCUUUGGUUUGAUGAUCACACCACUUGGAUGGUGAAGGCUCCAAGAUGAGUGAGCUAGUGCCGCCACUUGAGAAAACCAAAUGCACUCAAGAUAAGACAAGGUGAAGGAGAAGACAAGUUCUCACAAAUUCUCUCUCAAAUUGAGUAGAGUUUCUCUAUUGCUAAUUUCCAAUCUGAAUUUUACAAAGGCAAGCACCUUUAUUUAUAGCCUAAGAGGUGCUGAAAUGAAAAGCUAAUUAAACUCAAAUUACCCCCUAAAUGACAUAAAAGUGGCGCCAACUUAGAGCAUGAGGAAGGUGUGACUUCCUCUCUUAGUUUGGCACCUCCCUAUUACGCCUACACCCCUCUACUAAGCUCACACCCCCCAUGCUUCCUAUUAUUUUCCUAAACUAAAGACCUAAAGAUGCUUUUACAAAAGAGGUGUCUUAUGUUUCCCUCUAAGCACCUUCUAACACAAAGAUAUUACAAAAAGAGAAAACAACCUUCCAUUAUUUCCUAAUGCCUUGAAUUGACUUCUUGUAAGCCUUUGAGGUGGGCUACCAACUCCUUGAGCAUCUAACACUUGAGCCUCUUCCUCUUCUUGUCCUUGAGUAUUGGCCUCCAUUUAGUCUUGAACUUGAUCUCCAUCAGUGUUGCUAAGCUUGGGGACUUUUCCUCCAAUCUCUCUUUCCCUUGGAUCGCCAAACGGAUCAGGUUUGCUCUCCCGGGCGAUCUCUGCUUUGGUCCAGGCGGUUUCGGUGCAAUUGACCUUGGGCUGGGCGACCUCCUCUUUGUGCGGUGGUCGUGUAGUGACUAUGAAUACCCCUCUCUUCGUUUUGAGGAUGUUCUCAUAACACCUCUUGGCCUCCUUCUGAUCUGACUUAAUGGUAAUCACCUUUCCCGCCAAGUCAGACAGCUUUAUCUUCAUGUGCCUUGUCGAUGGCACCGCCCCCAGUCUAUUCAGCGUAGGUCUACCCAACGACAUGUUAUAAGCGGAAGGGGCAUUGAUAACGAGAUACCUGAUGCUCUCCGUACGAGACGCGGUACCAUCCGUGAAGGUGGUCCUCAACCCUAAGUGUCCGCGCACCUCCACCUGGUCUCCCGCGAAACCGUACAAGCAGCCAAUAUAGGGCCUUAGCAUGUCAGGAGACAGUUGCAGCUUGUUGAAAGUCGUCCAGAACAUUACGUCUGUCGAGCUUCUCUGAUCCACUAGUACACGGUGCACCUUCCUUCCUGUGGUUACCACUAAGAUCACCACCGGAUCGUUGUCAUGGGGAACAACGUCCUAAAGGUCGGCCUUGGUGAAGACAAGGUCGACAUCGAAAGUAUCGUCAACCCUUUUUGCUUCUACCGACAUCACCGCCCGUGCGUAUCUCCUCCGUUGAGAAGCGGUACAACCUCCUCCCGAAAAACCUCCCACGAUGGUGUGAAUCUCACCAUGCACGGGGACUUCAUGCCUCGGGCCACCGCCUGUCACCGCCAGGUCCUCGGUCCCUGCUUUUCUUGCAAGUAAUCCCUCAGGAAACCGUUAUUCACCAACUCAUCUAGCUGGUGUCCCAGUGCCAAACAAUUGCGUAUGGGAUGGCCGAAUGCUUGGUGGAACUCACACCAGGCGUUCUUGUUGGGCUCGAGCUUUUUGUUAGUCUUAAGGGGUACCUUCAGCCUCUCUGCUACAUUGGAAAUAGCGAUGAGGUCCUUCAAUUCUACCACGAAGUCGUGCCUUGGUGGCAUGUUCUCCCUCUCACGCCCCCUGGUCUGAGGCUUCCUUGGUUGAUAGGGUUGUUGCUUCGCGGGGGUCUUCUUCUCUGUCGUUGCCUCAUGCACCCUUAGGGGUUGAGGUCGACCUGAUGCACGCGGGCGCGUGGGAACCACACACACGCGUGGGAACCACACAUAUGAGCCACCGCGCGGCGCCUUAUCUCGGCGAAGGUCUUAGGGUGGUUUCUGAUAAGUGAUUCACUGAAGGGGCCUGGCACAAUGCCCUUCCUGAACGCGUGCACCAUCAUCCUUUCAUCCUUGAGGUUCAACCUCACUACCUGUGCUCCAAAGCGGCGGAGGAAUUGAUGUGAUUCCACUUCCAUCAGGAAUUCCUUCAAAGACUCUCCUUGAUAUUGUCUUAUGUCAAAGAGAUCAUAAGAGAUAGAUGGGGGAGCCUGAUUCGCGAUGUAUUGUGCCCUAAACAGCUUGUAAGUUGUGGGAACGACGUCACAUGGCCAUCAGGGAGGCGGAUGAACCAGUCCAUCGUUGUUCCCACCAGGGUGCUCAUGAACAGCUUGCAUCUCACUGCAUUAGAGCCUCCAACCAGCAUCAUCUGUGUAUAGAAAGCAGUGAGAUGGGCCUCCGGGUCCUCCGAACCAGUGAAGGUAACUUUGGGCCCUACAAGCGUGGCUGGUAUUACGGCAUCCAUGAUUUCUUGCGAGAACGACAUUGAGAACUCCCUGGGUGGCGUUGCAGUUUCUUGAUCUUCCUCCUCACGUUUGCCUGCUGGAUUUUGCAGAUCCCUACGCAGUUCCUCAUUUGAACGACACAGUUCUUCCCUCGUUGCCUGCGACGCCGUCAAAUCAGCCUGGAUGCGUUCUUGCUUUGCUCUUGACGCAACCACCUCCUCUUGAAGGGCCUGCAUGGUUUCCAUAACCUGUUGCAAGGUGAGGCUUUCGCCUCCGUUUGGUGCAACAGGUCCCUGCCCCGUACUUCUCAUCUUUCUAGUUUUUGCUGGUGGGACAAUGUUUUGUGUCGUGCCCCACGGUGGGCGCCAAAUGUUCCUACCGGUUGACCUAAAACGUUUUCGUGCGCCUACGUCACUCUCACGUUCAGAAUCCCUGCACUUGCACGUGCUUUCCCUUUGAUGAAUGCCUGAAAACACAAAGACAAAGGGCGCCCUAGAGGCCGUUUGCACUCCGACGCUCAAGUCAAUCUUAGGGCUAGGAAACACCAAAACUGUUUAACGUAAGACUGUAACUGUGUGUGUUAAGCGGCGCAAAUGAAUAGCGUACCUUACUAAGUUUGUUACUUCCCUUUAUAUAGGCUGAAACUAGGGUUUCCACUUUACCCAAAAGUGGGUUUUCUGAGGGGAUGGGUCCAGCACUGCCGUUACCUACUCUUAGGAUAACCUAGUGCGUGGGGUUCCCUAACUGGAGUGCAAUCUCUGACGUGGUAACCACCUGGAUGCCUCCUCGUGCACUUGAUCUCUAGGGUCACCUGCCUUGGGAGCGCCCUAGCUGUUCACGUGUCAUGCAUGCAUCUCACCCCUAGAACAUGGACCUCGAAGGUCGUAUCUUUUCCAGUGGCUCUAUGCUCGUGUUACGCCUGUACGCGUCAUCCACUCCGCACGCAUGGACUCUCGUGACAUAGGCUCCUCCCUUACUGAUGAUUGGUGUGUGGUAUGGGAUCCACCUCUCGUGGCCCAACUCUGUUGUUCGAGUAUCGAUAUCCGACCUCUCCACACCGACUAGUGGGACGUCGGUACAUCCUGGUGACCGAUGUCUGACCACUCUUUUGGUUUCUUGGCGCUCGUGCCUCACGAGAUACUGACCCACGCCGCUCAUGGGACCCCGCUUACGUGACUCCAACAUCACUAGUGGUCAAUGACGCCCGAGGACUGGUCGGUACAUGGAGAAUCUAUUUUUCUUAUAUGUUGACUGAGGGGUGAGAGGCGAGAGGUUAAGGAUACCUGAGGUACGAGGCUAGUUGUGGGUCCUUCUCCUAUACUCGCUUGUGACUUGCUCGAUUACGAGCAGUAAGUCACUUUUUGCCAACAAGCGUUGAACUCCCAACUCCUUUGCCAUCAACAUAUAUGUUAUUCUCGUACUCAACUUGGUCGUUGCUCGCCUUAAAUGCUAAUUUAAUAGCCUGCUCGAUUAAAAGCCAAUUUGGUCCUUCUAAAAUUUUCUAGCUUCGCUCCUUUGUAGGUUGGCAGACCCAUCCACCGAAAGGACACAUCGAAAAUCAUUAUGGUCAGGCUGAAAGUCCUUGGAUGAAAGCUCUACCAUGAAGUCUGCAUAUACCUGGCCUUUAAUUGGCCCUUGUGGUUCAUACUGUAUGUAAAACUCAGACAAUUCAACCGCCCAAUGAACCAUCCGACCUGCAAUGUCAGGCUUUUGCAGAACCUUACGGAUGGGCAGGUUGUUCAUUAUAAUCAUAGUGAAGCUUUGAAGUAAUGACGAAGUCACUGAGUUGUGAACACCACAACUAGAUCAUCUUUUUCGAUAGCUUGAUACCGAACCUAUGUUCCUUGUAGCACCUUACUUACAAAAUAGACUAACUUUUAGUACUUCUUAUGCUUUUGCAAAAUAACCGAGUUGAUAACUCAUUCUGUUAUUGAAAAAUAUAGACGAAUAGGAAUUCCUAGAGUCGGUUUACUGAGAACUGGGGGACUAGCUAGGUAUUCCUUUAGUUUGACAAAAGCGUUUUCGCAUUCUUCAGUCCAUGCAAAACGAUUAUUCUUCCUAAGGCAUUGGAAAUAAGGAUACCCUUUAUCUCCAUUGGCUGAUAAGAAACAAGACAUGGCGACCAUGCACUCGAUUAGCUGUUGCACUUCCUUCAUAUUAGCUGAACUUCUCAUUUCUAUGAUCGUUGUACAUUUAUCCAGGUUCGCCUCUAUACCUCUCUCACUUAAGAGGAAACCUAGAAAUUUUUCUGUUUCAACUCUGUCCCGACCAUUCCUCGGUCAUUGACACCAGUGACUGACCUCAGACAUCGCACACCGGUGCCUAAUAGUGGAAGUGGGCCACGCAAGGAGGGCCCUAGACGCACCUAUCAGGGUAUUGGUCAGUCUUCGGACAUCGGUACCAUAGACAUCGACGUUGGAGAUCGAGAUCAGAUCUCGCCAGAAAAGGGAGAAACCAGAUGUCGACGAUCUGAACAGUUAUAUUGGACCACGUAAGAUGGGUCCCAGAAUUAUACUAAGUCAUCAGUUAAACAUCAGAUAAGAGGGAAGCCUAAGUAACGAGGGAUCCGUGCACGUGGUGUGUAUAGCGCAUACAGGCGCGAGACGAGUAAACAAUAUUGGAGGCGCUAAGGCCCAUUAGGGUUAGGGUUUCCAGGGGAAGCUGCAUGCAUGGCACAUGAAUACUUAGAGCACUCGCAGAAAUAGAUGACGCCAGAGAUUAGGUGCACAAGUUGGUACCCAGGCAGCCACUCUGUUAGUCCUUGCGCUCCAGUCAAGGGAAGUUCUAUGUGCCAGAUACGCUAAGAUUAUGUAAAUAGCGGCGCAAGGACGUUCCCCAAUGAACCUUAGACAAGGGUAACAACACAGAGGUAAACCCUAGUUUCAACCUAUACAGAGGGUGCUAAUAGCCCUAACAAGGUACACAGUUUCUAAGACUGAAACUACUUUAUACACUUGGUGUUUCUUUGCCCUAAGACUGACUUGAGCGUCAGAGUGCAAACGGUCGUUAAGGCGCCCUUUGUCUUUACAGGUGAGAGAUUCUUUGAUCAAGGAAGUGCGAUUCUCAGGCGGAGAUAGGAGGGCCAAAGGCUGCCGUUCGAGUCAACCAGAGAAGCGAGUCAACCUUGGCGUCCACCGUGGGGCUCGUUAAAACAAGGUCCCACUCACAAUCAUAUUAAGAGUUCUUACCAACGAUAUGAGGAGUACGAGACAAGGAUCUACUGUGCCCCCAGGUGCUGCGCCCGCUGGAGGGGACAACGUUACCAUGCAACAACUCUUGGAGACCAUGCGCGCCCUCCAAGAAGCAGUGGCAGCAUCUAGGGUUGAGAUUGCCGCGUCACGUGCAGACAUCGAAGAACUGUGCACAACCAAUGAGAAAUUGCGCAUAGAUUUGCAACAAGCAGGGGAGCGUGCGGUGGACGAGCGUGCCCCACCCAUACCGCUCAAGGGACGCCCCAAUUUAUGAAUAUUGCUCCUCUUUUUAUAUUUUUUUUAAGGUAAAUAAAAUAAUUGAAAAAAUAACAAAAAAACAUUAUUUAAUAUAAUAUUUGAUAGAUAACCAAAAAAUUCUGAUAACUAAAAAAUAUAGAGAAAGGGUCAGUCAAUUAAUGAUUUAGUUUAUGCACGUAUAAUAAAUUCUGAAUUUAUAAUCGUGUAGUUGAUUUGUAAUUUAGUUCUUAAAAUUUAUUAAAUGGAUGUUAAAUUUGCAUUUAUUGUUUAUUAACUCAUUUAUUUCGUUGACAGUGAAAUCCUUGUCAUCAUUUUCCUUCAUGUGACACUUACCAAACAUCCAGUAUAUACUCAUCAAGAGAAAAAAAAGAAAAAAAAGAAAAAAAGAAAAGAAAAGAGGGUAACCAAACUACAAAUGAACCAUCAUUUCCUAUUCCUUUCUAAUCAACACCAAAAGGUGAGAACACUGUGCAUAACUGCAUACAACUAACAAUUUAACUGAUUGUCUUUCUCUAGAAAAUUUAUUUCCAACAAACCACCAAAAUCAGCCCUGGGAUCUCCAGGUUCCGACCAAUAAAAUCUAACACAACCUAUAAAAAACGCUAUCAAAGACCCAGGAUUAAGAAAAAUGAAAACAAGAAAAGACAAGAACUGAACUGAGUUUGGAGUUGAAGCAAAAGAUUUUAUACGACAUGACAUACGAUGUAAGGAAGUGGAAUUACAAGUAUGAACAACAAAAGGCACAGUGAACAUGUUCCAUUCUGUUACAAGUUGAAAUUAAAACGAACAACACGAUACCUAUCUACCAUUAGUUACGGCAAUUCAUCAACUGAAACGUGAAUUGAUCAAUUGGAGCGAAUCCAUUGGCCGUUGAGCCACUCCUGGUGAACCCUAAUUGCGGAGGCGGGGUACACGAUCUCCUCGUGAGUGGUGGAGAAAUAAACAUAGUAAUGGCGGUUGUCGACCUUGCCGGAGAUCUCGCCAACCCACCACCCGUCGUUGUCGAAGGCGUCGACGCGUUGGUAGAGGGCGAAGGAGGAGGUAGCGGUUAGGCGCGGAGGCUUGGGGCGGAGCUCUUUGGGGAAGAGGGUCUCGGUCAGGGGCUGAGACUCGUCGUCCUCGAGCAGCGUGUCGUAGCGGACGAUGUAGAGGCCGUUGUCGAGGCGCGACACAACCGUGGCGAGGUAGUAGGAGCCGAGGAAGCCCUCCUCGUUGAUGCACACCUCCACCUUGUCGCCGUGGCGGAAAUUCACCGUCUUCCGCGGUGGUCGCAUUGAAGAAGAAAAUGGUUCUUCAAAGUUCUCUUGGUUGAACAGUGUCGUGAGAGCAGAG